rnacentral:rRNA from 1 species
UACGUAGGGUCCGAGCGUUGUCCGGAAUUACUGGGCGUAAAGAGCUCGUAGGUGGUUUGUCGCGUUGUUCGUGAAAACUCACAGCUUAACUGUGGGCGUGCGGGCGAUACGGGCAGACUUGAGUUCGGCAGGGGAGACGUGGAAUUCCUGGUGGUAGCGGUGAAAUGCGCAGAUAUCAGGAGGAACACCGGUGGCGAAGGCGGGUCUCUGGGCCGAUACUGACGCUGAGGAGCGAAAGCGUGGGGAGCGAACAGG